AUUGAACGCUGGCGGCAUGCCUUACACAUGCAAGUCGAACGGCAGCACGGACUUCGGUCUGGUGGCGAGUGGCGAACGGGUGAGUAAUAUAUCGGAACAUACCUUGUAGUGGGGGAUAACUAUCCGAAAGGAUAGCUAAUACCGCAUACGCUCUAAGGAGGAAAGUGGGGGAUCGCAAGACUUCAUGCUAUAAGAGUGGCCGAUAUCUGAUUAGCUAGUUGGUGAGGUAAAGGCUCACCAAGGCGACGAUCAGUAGCUGGUCUGAGAGGACGACCAGCCACACUGGAACUGAGACACGGUCCAGACUCCUACGGGAGGCAGCAGUGGGGAAUUUUGGACAAUGGGGGCAACCCUGAUCCAGCAAUGCCGCGUGAGUGAAGAAGGCCUUCGGGUUGUAAAGCUCUUUUGUCAGGGAAGAAACGGUUGUGGCUAAUAUCCAUGGCUAAUGACGGUACCUGAAGAAUAAGCACCGGCUAACUACGUGCCAGCCGCCGCCGUAAUAC
rnacentral:rRNA from 1 species